GGGCUCACCUUGGCAGCACAUACACUAAAAUUGAAACGAUACUGAGAUUAGCAUGGCCCCUGUAGAAGGAUGACACACAAAUUCGUGAAGCGUUCCAUAUUUGU
rnacentral:snRNA from 1 species